GAGAAAGGAUGAACAUGCUAACAUUCUUCAUGCCAAAGUGAAAAUGUAAGACCCAACUCUGAGCUCACCCUCUUG
ensembl:snoRNA